rnacentral:rRNA from 1 species
UACAGAGGUCCCGAGCGUUGUUCGGAUUCACUGGGCGUAAAGGGUGCGUAGGUGGUGGGGUAAGUCGGAUGUGAAAUCUCCAAGCUCAACUUGGAAACUGCAUUGGAAACUACCUUGCUGGAGGAUUUGAGGGGGGAUUGGAAUACUUGGUGUAGCAGUGAAAUGCGUAGAUAUCAAGUGGAACACCAGUGGCGAAGGCGAAUCCCUGGAAAAUACCUGACACUGAGGCACGAAAGCUAGGGGAGCAAACAGG